UAACGCGAAGAACCUUACCAAGGCUUGACAUACACCGGAAACGGCCAGAGAUGGUCGCCCCCUUGUGGUCGGCGUACAGGUGGUGCGUGGUUGUCGUCAGCUCGUGUCGUGAGAUGUUGGGUUAAGUCCCGCAACGAGCGCAACCCUCGUUUUAUGUUGCCAGCGCGUUAUGGCGGGGACUCAUAGGAGACUGCCGGGGUCAACUCGGAGGAAGGUGGGGAUGACGUCAAAUCAUCAUGCCCCUUAUGUCUUGGGCUUCACGCAUGCUACAAUGGCCGGUACAAAGGGCUGCGAUACCGUAAGGUGGAGCGAAUCCCAAAAAGCCGGUCUCAGUUCGGAUUGAGGUCUGCAACUCGACCUCAUGAAGUCGGAGUCGCUAGUAAUCGCAGAUCAGCA
rnacentral:rRNA from 1 species